CCCCCGGAAGGUGGGCCGCUAGCCGCUGGCUGCUGGCAGGCGACCGCCCGGUCAAGGCCAUGCCAUUGUACUUGGUGGUGGCACUCGUCCGGUCUUACCGAAGAGAAGCAAAAGAGAAAUCAAGCUUCAGCCAGUCUGGGCCGGUGUUGAAGGCGGGUAGAGAUCUUUCUCACCAGCCAUCCUGUCCAACAACACUCAGGAAAACCAGGGUUCCUGGUUGUGCAAAUGUGAGCACACUUGACAUCUACCUUGCCCUUAUCUGGCAGCCCGGAUGGAUGACUGCUGACCCUGAAGUUGCCUUUCUUAAAGCUGAAACAAGUGCUGGUGAUGACGUGGAAAAAUUGGAAUGCUCGUGCCUUGCUGGUGGGAAUGUAAAAUGGUACAGCUGCUGUGGAGAACAUUCUGGCAGUUCCUCAAGAACUUAGACAUGGACUUGCCAUAUGGCCCAGCAAUUCUCCUCCUACGUUAUUUGUGCCAAAGCACAGAAAGCAAGGAUGCAAAUAUACUUGUCCAUCAAUCUUUAGAACAACGUUAUCGAUCGUAGCUGAAAGAUGGAAACGGAUAAGUAGAACUUGGCCUACCUGCACCUUGGAGUCCUACUCAGCCUGAAGAUCGGGAAGGAGGUUGUGAUGUAUGUCACCACAUGGACGAAACUUGAGGACAUCGUCCUAAAAGAAGUAAGCCAGUCAAGAGAGGACGAAUAUGGCAUGACUCUAGUAACGAUGCUAAUUGCAUGAUACUAACAGGAGGUGCCUUCCACAGGCAAAUUCAUAGAGACUGAAAAUAGAAUGGAGGUUAUCAGGGAUCAGAGGGAUAGAGAAUAGGGAGUUAUUUAAUGAACGGAAUUUCUGUUUGGGAUGAUAAAAAGCUCUAGAAAUGGUGAGUGAUGCUGGUUGUACAAUGUGUCACUGUUUUAAUGCCACCGAAAUCGUACACAUAAAUGGCUACAGUGACCAGUUGAUGUGUAUUUUACUGCAAUAAAAAUAUGUGACUGUUUUCCUUUUGUUAACAAAUUAGAACAUUAUAGACCAUGUCAAAGGCCCCUUUGACCACUUCCUCCAUCCUGAUUCCAAUUCCCCCUCCUGGGUGCUUCCAUGUUAAUUCCUCUAGAGUGUCUGCGUAUAUUUACCUGUAUCCAUAUGUACUUAUCAAAAUGACAUUUAAAAUUUUUUUAAAGAUUUUAUUUAUUUAUUUUUAGAGAGAGGAGAAGGGAGGGAGAAAAAGAGGGAGAGAAACAUCUGUGUGUGAUUGCCUCUUGUGCGCCUCCUAUUGGGGGGGCCUGGCCCACAACCCAGGCACCUGCCUGACUGGGAAUCAAUCCUGCAACCCUCUGGCUCGCAGGCGGGCCUGCGAGUGGUUCACUAACUCAAUCCACUGAGCCAGGGCAAAAUGACAUAUUUUUUGUUUUAUCCAAAGAGUAAGUCUGUUUUAGUAUAGAGAUUUGAAACCACCAUUCACAGUAAAAAUGUUCUAGGUAAUAGGCUUCUGGCCUUAUUAAUGGGGAUUUUUCUGGGUGAGUAUACAUCUUUAAAAUGUUUCUUUUUUUCAUUUCAUUUUCUCUUUCUCAUUAUAUGGCAGGGUUGGUGCCUGCAGAUCUGCUAUUGUUUAUGCUAACGCUAGCCAGCUCAGGUUUCUCCCUGCACUAGGGAACACUCUGUCCCCCACCCCUGCUAGAUUCCAGGCGUCAGCCCCCAGUUUCAGGUCACUUUUCUGGACUGCUUUAGUAGGGAGCCUCUCAGUGUACAUAAUUUUACUUAAAUCAUUUUCUUAUCCUUUCCCCUUCUCCCUCCCAGCUUCUAGUUUGCUGAGAUAUCAAGUAGAUGUCAAAGACUUUGUAAAGAUUUUGCUUUAUCCUUGACAUUCAAUGAUGCAUGCUCGUUGUGAGAAAAUGAAGUGUUUCAGAAUGGUUACAAUGCAGAAUGUGUAACCACAUCACACUUGGAUAACAUAUUUCCAGACAUUUCUGAAUGAUCAAUACUCAUGGGUACAAAUGUGUAUAUAAUUAUAUGUAAGUGGGAUCAUACGAUACACAUUGUACGACGAUUAGCUUCCUUAAAUUAAGAAAUAUGACUUUAUAGUUUUCUGUCAGUGAAUAAAGAUUUAUGUGAUCUA